rnacentral:tRNA from 1 species
GACUCCGUAGCUCAGCUGGUAGAGCAAAUGACUCUUAAUCAUUGGGUCGAGGGUUCGAGUCCCUCCGGGGUCA